AUAGCGUAUAUUAAAGUUGUUGCAGUUAAAAAGCUCGUAGUUGAAUUUCUGGUCAGUUGGAUGCUGCGCUUCGGCCGGUAGACAAUUUGAUCAUCCGUAGGGGAAACACAUUCGGCCUUCACUGGUCGGUGUGCGGAAUCUACAAUUUACUGUGAAAAAAUUAGAGUGUUUCAGGCAGGCAAUCGCUUGGAUACUCCAGCAUGGAAUAAUGGAAUAGGACUUUGGUCUAUUUGUUGGUUCAAGAUCAAAGUAAUGAUUAACAGGGACAGUUGGGGGCAUUCGUAUUUAAUUGUUAGAGGUGAAAUUCUUGGAUUUAUUAAAGACGAACUUAUG
rnacentral:rRNA from 1 species